UACGUAGGGUGCAAGCGUUUAAUCGGAAUUACUGGGCGUAAAGCGUGCGCAGGCGGUUUUGUAAGUCUGUCGUGAAAUCCCCGGGCUCAACCUGGGAAUUGCGAUGGAGACUGCAAGGCUAGAAUCUGGCAGAGGGGGGUAGAAUUCCACGUGUAGCAGUGAAAUGCGUAGAGAUGUGGAGGAACACCGAUGGCGAAGGCAGCCCCCCUGGGUCAAGAUUGACGCUCAUGCACGAAAGGCGUGGGGAGCAAACAGG
rnacentral:rRNA from 1 species